rnacentral:rRNA from 1 species
GAUGAACGCUAGCGAUAGGCCUAACACAUGCAAGUCGAGGGGCAGCAUAAAGGUAGCAAUACCUUUGAUGGCGACCGGCGCACGGGUGAGUAACGCGUAUGCAACCUACCUUCUACAGGGGAAUAACCCGGAGAAAUUCGGACUAAUACCCCAUAACACAGGGAUGCCGCAUGGCAAUAUUUGUUAAAGAACUUCGGUAGAAGAUGGGCAUGCGUUCCAUUAGCCAGUUGGUGAGGUAACGGCUCACCAAAGCAACGAUGGAUAGGGGAACUGAGAGGUUUAUCCCCCACACUGGAACUGAGACACGGACCAGACUCCUACGGGAGGCAGCAGUGAGGAAUAUUGGUCAAUGGGCGAGAGCCUGAACCAGCCAAAUCGCGUGAAGGAAGACUGCCUUAUGGGUUGUAAACUUCUUUUAUAGGGGAAUAAAAAUAGUUACGAGUAACUUCUUGCAUGUACCCUAUGAAUAAGCAUCGGCUAACUCCGUGCCAGCCGCCGCAGUAAAA